rnacentral:tRNA from 1 species
GGGGGCGUAGCUCAGCGGGAGAGCGCCUGCUUUGCAAGCAGGGGGUCAUCGGUUCGAUCCCGAUCGCCUCCA